rnacentral:rRNA from 1 species
GACCGGCGCAUGCCGGAGUGUGAAAAUGUAUGCCGAAAGGUAUGCAGGUAUGGGAUGGGCCCGCGUCUGAUUAGCUAGUUGGUGAGGUAACGGCUCACCAAGGCGACGAUCAGUAGCCGGCUUGAGAGAGUGACCGGCCACAUUGGGACUGAGACACGGCCCAAACUCCUACGGGAGGCAGCAGUGGGGAAUAUUGCACAAUGGGGGAAACCCUGAUGCAGCGACGCCGCGUGAGUGAAGAAGUACUUCGGUACGUAAAGCUCUAUCAGCAGGGAAGAAGAUGACGGUACCUGACUAAGAAGCCCCGGCUAACUACGUGCCAGCAGCCGCGGUAAUACGUAGGGGGCAAGCGUUAUCCGGAAUUACUGGGUGUAAAGGGAGCGUAGGUGGCGAAGCAAGUCAGAUGUGAAAGCCCGGGGCUCAACUCCGGGACUGCAUUUGAAACUGUUUUGCUAGAGUGCAGGAGAGGUAAGUGGAAUUCCUAGUGUAGCGGUGAAAUGCGUAGAUAUUAGGAGGAACACCAGUGGCGAAAGGCGGCUUACUGGGACUGUAACUGACACUGAGGCUUCGAAAGCGUGGGGGAGCAAACAAGGAUUAGAUACCCUUGGUAGUCCACGCCGUAAACCGAUGAAUACUA